rnacentral:rRNA from 1 species
ACAUGCAAGUCGAGCGAGCUUGCCUAGAUGAAUUUGGUGCUUGCACCAAAUGAAACUAGAUACAAGCGAGCGGCGGACGGGUGAGUAACACGUGGGUAACCUGCCCAAGAGACUGGGAUAACACCUGGAAACAGAUGCUAAUACCGGAUAACAACACUAGACGCAUGUCUAGAGUUUAAAAGAUGGUUCUGCUAUCACUCUUGGAUGGACCUGCGGUGCAUUAGCUAGUUGGUAAGGCAACGGCUUACCAAGGCAAUGAUGCAUAGCCGAGUUGAGAGACUGAUCGGCCACAUUGGGACUGAGACACGGCCCAAACUCCUACGGGAGGCAGCAGUAGGGAAUCUUCCACAAUGGACGCAAGUCUGAUGGAGCAACGCCGCGUGAGUGAAGAAGGGUUUCGGCUCGUAAAGCUCUGUUGGUAGUGAAGAAAGAUAGAGGUAGUAACUGGCCUUUAUUUGACGGUAAUUACUUAGAAAGUCACGGCUAACUACGUGCCAGCAGCCGCGGUAAUACGUAGGUGGCAAGCGUUGUCCGGAUUUAUUGGGCGUAAAGCGAGUGCAGGCGGUUCAAUAAGUCUGAUGUGAAAGCCUUCGGCUCAACCGGAGAAUUGCAUCAGAAACUGUUGAACUUGAGUGCAGAAGAGGAGAGUGGAACUCCAUGUGUAGCGGUGGAAUGCGUAGAUAUAUGGAAGAACACCAGUGGCGAAGGCGGCUCUCUGGUCUGCAACUGACGCUGAGGCUCGAAAGCAUGGGUAGCGAACAGGAUUAGAUACCCUGGUAGUCCAUGCCGUAAACGAUGAGUGCUAAGUGUUGGGAGGUUUCCGCCUCUCAGUGCUGCAGCUAACGCAUUAAGCACUCCGCCUGGGGAGUACGACCGCAAGGUUGAAACUCAAAGGAAUUGACGGGGGCCCGCACAAGCGGUGGA